UGUAUCUAAAGUCCACUGAUAUGGAAUGUAAACGGUAGCCUACUACAGUUGCUAGGGAGGGACUAGCUGUGGGGAUAUCAUUUUCCCUACAAGUGGUUUGUGCGCGUGAUCUGACAUGUAGGAACAGAUUCCACUGGCAGUUCGAUGCUGUGUCAUUUAUUUACUUCUGCAUCUAACAGGCAAAGUGUCUCUGCAGGACUCUGCAAUUGAGUUCAGUCGUGUUGUUGGAGACUCCAUCAUCUUGCCAUGCAUCUAUGUGAAGCAACAGCCAAGUACUGAUGUA